GACGAACGCUGGCGGCGUGCUUAACACAUGCAAGUCGAACGGAAAGGCCCUGCUUUUGUGGGGUGCUCGAGUGGCGAACGGGUGAGUAACACGUGAGUAACCUGCCCUUGACUUUGGGAUAACUUCAGGAAACUGGGGCUAAUACCGGAUAGGAGCUCCUGCUGCAUGGUGGGGGUUGGAAAGUUUCGGCGGUUGGGGAUGGACUCGCGGCUUAUCAGCUUGUUGGUGGGGUAGUGGCUUACCAAGGCUUUGACGGGUAGCCGGCCUGAGAGGGUGACCGGCCACAUUGGGACUGAGAUACGGCGCAGACGCCAACGGGAGGCAGCAGUGGGGAAUAUUGCACAAUGGGCGGAAGCCUGAUGCAGAAACGCCGCGUGCGGGAUGACGGCAUUCGGGUUGUAAACCGCUUUCGACUGUGACGAAGCGUGAGUGACGGUAAUGGGUAAAGAAGCACCGGCUAACUACGUG
rnacentral:rRNA from 1 species